ACAUUAUUUUUCUUUAUGUAAUACUUUUUCAGUUGUUUUAUUUGGUAUAAAUAUAUACUUUGUGCUUAAACAUCUUUGUUCGUUUUUAACAUUCAAUAGUAUGUAAAGAUAUGAUUUCCUUCAGUAAGAUAGGUGCAUUGAAUUGUUGGAAUGCCUAUUGUAGUGCGUCUGUUCUUGUCCCCCUUGUCAUUGCUUUUGUAGUUGUAAACUCCAGUUCUGCAAAUAUGGUCUGCAAGCUCACCUGAGAGACAAAUGAGUUCCACUGGCUUCAGUAAAGGCUUAACGUUAAAGUGUACAUGUCUGUGUGCUUGCAGGAAUGAAGAGACAGUGACUCUGGCUUUGCCCAGCGAUGUAACCCUUUCAUACCCAUCAUCUGCUGUUGAAGUGUGACCCAGAGGCCUCGGAGAGGUUCAGCUGCAAUCCUGGACUGUCAAAGUCUACAGUGGAAACGAGGUAACUGGUUGUAUUUGUAUUUGACAAAAUCUCAAACCCACAGUGCUAAGAAAUGGUGUGACUUAGGUGGUGAUACCUCUCAGCAAAUGGCGGUAAACUGUGAGGUACCUUCUGGUUUGGCCAGGGGUUGAAAGUGGUUAUCAGUGGCUGUGUAGUCUAAGAAGUUGCUGGCAAAAGCAAAGCCUGUGAGGCAGCCUGGCUCUUGCCAUAGAGGUGAGAUUCAGCCUGCGGUUGAGAAAAGUGUCAGUGCUACAGAAGGUGACAGCUGCUGGGCUGAUUAAAGCCCCCCUAUCAAUGCAGCCUGUACCUGCCACCCCCUUCAUCCCUGCCUGCAGGUGAUUCAAGCAACUGCACUAGAGCACUGGGGUUUAGAUUUGUAUUUGCCAGUGUGUGAAACUGUGACUUUAUUUUUCAAAUGUUUGUAUUUCACUUAAAACAUGACUCCUUUUAAAGGUCUUUGUUCUUGUGAUCAGCCUUUCAGGAUCUGGUAAUCUUUCUGUGGAUGUAGAUUUUUCUAAUUAAAUACUAAUGUUAUAAUUUCUAUCAGAAAUAGAAAUUUCUCUUUGCAACUUAGUGGCAAGAAUGCUAGAAAAUCUGUCACCCAAACAGUAGUAUCUGCAUCCAAGUUCUUCUCAUCCAUAUGCUAGCCAUGGUUUGGAAAACAAGCUGGUUUUACAUGAAGAUCCAUGACUGCAGUAAGGCUCAGGUUCCUCACAACUGUCACCUCUGCUGGUGAAUUUUGCUAUUGCAAUAUGUGGAUUUUACUUUAU
ensembl:lncRNA